CCUACGGGUGGCAGCAGUGGGGAAUAUUGCACAAUGGGGGAAACCCUGAUGCAGCGACGCCGCGUGAGUGAAGAAGUAUUUCGGUACGUAAAGCUCUAUCAGCAGGGAAGAAAAUGACGGUACCUGACUAAGAAGCCCCGGCUAACUACGUACCAGCAGCCGCGGUAAUACGUAGGGGGCAAGCGUUAUCCGGAUUUACUGGGUGUAAAGGGAGCGUAGACGGCAGCGCAAGUCUGGAGUGAAAUCCCAUGGCUGAACCAUGGAACUGCUUUGGAAACUGUGCAGCUAGAGUGCAGGAGAGGUAAGCGGAAUUCCUAGUGUAGCGGUGAAAUGCGUAGAUAUUAGGAGGAACACCAGUGGCGAAGGCGGCUUACUGGACUGUAACUGACGUUGAGGCUCGAAAGCGUGGGGAGCAAACAGGAUUAGAUACCCUAGUAGUC
rnacentral:rRNA from 1 species